AGGUGUUACCAUUUAGUGAUCAGUACUGAACAGAUUCACUAUGGAGUUGGGGCUGAGCUGGGUUUUUCUUGUUGCUCUCUUGAAAGGUGUCCAGUGUGAGGUGCAGCUGGUGGAGUCAGGGGGAGGCUUGGUGCAGCCUGGGGGAUCCCUGAGACUCUCCUGUGCAGCCUCUGGAUUCACCUUUAGCAGCUAUACCAUGCACUGGGUCCGCCAGGCUCCAGGGAAGGGGCUGGAGUGGGUCUCAUACAUAAGUGGUAGUGGUGGUACCAUACGCUACGCCAACUCCGUGAAGGACAGAUUCACCAUCUCCAGAGACAAUGCCAAGAACACCCUGUACCUAGACAUGAGCAGUCUGAGAUCUGAGGACACGGCCAUGUAUUUCUGUACUACAGACACAGUGAGGGAAAGCUCCUGUGAGCUCAGACACAAACCUCCCUGCAGGGAUCUCGGGACCAGCAGGGGGCGCUGGAACAGGCAGAGCUCUGGAUCAUCAUCACCAAGCAGGUGCAGAGGCAUCCAGGGCUGGACUCCCCCUGCCUGGGCUGCAUCUCCUCGUCACAGCACAGAUUUCCCAGAGAUUCUCUCUACAGACAUGCACGCAGCAAUUUUUAAGUGUCAAAAUAUCUGA